UCACAAUCCGGUGCAUUUUAC
rnacentral:siRNA from 1 species